AGCUUUACGCAGUGGCAGUAUCGUAGUCAAUGAAGUUUAUCCGAGGCGCGAUUAUUGCUAAUUGAAAUCUUUUCCCAAUACCCUGCCAUGAUGACUUGAAAUACAAUCAGUAGUGGCAAUUAUUAUUAUUUUUUUUUAGAC